rnacentral:misc_RNA from 1 species
GUAAUUCUGGGAGCUAGAAAAUGGAGUUUAUAUAAUACUUAUGGAAUGAGCACCAGAGAGAUAGCUAAAUAUUGUGGCAUAGGCAUAUGUUAGCUCUCUUUUAUUUUUUCAUUAAUUUUUUUCCAAGCAGGUAAUGUAGGUACUUGUGUCGUGUGAAUGCGAUCUGACUUUUUGCUAAUUCAACAUUUUUAGGCAUACUGUUUUAUCCAGACUUUGCUUAGAAUAUGCAUGAAAGUAAUGACUUGAAAAAGCAUGUCUUACAAGGAAGGAAAACUAAUUUUAACUUGCUUAUGCUAAAGCCAAUAGAUGCCAAGAGUGUUUGUGCCUAGUUAGAUAUUAAUUGUCCUUUGUUGGGUUGACAAGCUUUUGAAGCAUUAAACCAAGUGUUUAUUAUGUUCAUUCUUUAUACUUUCAAUUCUCCAUACUGUUUCUAUUUGAAAAUGAACAGAUUGUUUUAAGAUGGUUUGUGGUACGUAUUUUUAUUGCCUCUUAAACUAUUUUGAUUUAUUUUGUAGUUGAAAAAGAAAAUCCUAUGUUCUAAGUCUAUAGAUCCCACUUUUUGAGAACUUUGUUUACUGCUUGCAUUUCUCUUUUCUAACUUCAUUGAUCUUCUUCUUCUUCUUCUU